AUACUCAAGAUAGAUAUAAUGUGAACUCUUGUACAGGUAUGUAUACUCAAGAUAGAUAUAAUGUGAACUCUUGUACAGGUAUGAAUACUCAAGAUAGAUAUAAUGUGAACUCUUGUACAGGUAUGAAUACUCAAGAUAGAUAUAAUGUGAACUCUUGUACAGGUAUGAAUACUCAAGAUAGAUAUAAUGUGAACUCUUGUACAGGUAUGUAUACUCAAGAUAGAUAUAAUGUGAACUCUUGUACAGGUAUGUAUACUCAAGAUAGAUAUAAUGUGAACUCUUGUACAGGUAUGUAUACUCAAGAUAGAUAUAAUGUGAACUCUUGUACAGGUAUGUAUACUCAAGAUAGAUAUAAUGUGAACUCUUGUACAGGUAUGUAUACUAAAGAUAGACAUAAUGUGAACUCUUGUAUAGGUAUGUAUACUAAAUUAGUUAGAAUAUAGCAAAGUGCUCUCGACCAAUGAAAUUGUAGGAUUUGAUGUCUCUUAAUUGUGAAGAAUGAAUGUAAAUCAUGUUCUUAGUAAGGGAUUAUCCUAUUAUUUGGGUCUAUUUACAGUUCAAAACAAAGAGUUUCUAUAAAUGGUUUACAACUGCCCCGAAGCAAAUUUAUCAGAUUGAAAGGAUUUAUCACACAGUGAUUGAAACUGACUUAAAGUUAAAUUGUGAGACAAAAAAAUCAAAAUAAGUUGAAGUCUACUGGUGCUGUAAUACUGGUACCUUUAAUGUUAUUAUGAAAAAAUUAAUAACUUCAAAUUACUAAAAAAUUAAACAAUAUCAAAGCAAUGCAAAAAAAGAAAGAAAGAGAAAAAAAGUUUUAAAAUCAAAAACCACCUAAAUCUUUAGCUUUCCAAAACUCUGAUUACUGGACUAGUGGUUGAGAAGAAUAGUUAUUUCCAAUAUUCCAAUAAAAUGAAAAAAAAUAGGAAUUUAUUUUAAGUUUUGGGUAUAUUUAAAACUUUUAAAGACAUUUUAUUUGAACAUUCCCCUGACAUAAUGAAAUAGUAUUUGAUUUAAAAAGCCGGACCAAAAUAUUGGCUAUGGAAUAAAAUUAGUUGUAACUCAAGUGUAUUUAUUGAUUUAAACUGUAAAUAAAAAAAGGAUAAUUCCUCACUAAAAUAUUACAUGAAUUACUUUCAUACUCACAAUCAGGAAACAUAUACAAUUCCUACCUUUUCUUUGUACUGUUGUGUCACCUAAUGUCUAUAAUACAUUUUUUUUUUUAAUAUUUCCCAAAUUAUAAGAAUGUCCUUACAUCACUAAAACUAAUCCAUAAAUGAAAUGCCGAAAAAGGAAGUCAUGCAUCAAUUAUAAACAUUGCACUGACAAUGACACUAAUUCUUGAAUACAAACAAUCAAGAGAUCAUUUGAGCCUUGAGCACUUUACAAUAUUCUAAGUUUGUAAGAGAAUGAUAAUCCCUUACUUCAUGAUAAGUACUCACUAACGCUCGUACUUAAUCAUGAAGAAAGGGAUUAUCAUUCUCUUACAUAUACAUAUAAUGUGGACUCUUGUACAGGUAUGUAUACAUAAGAUAGAUAUAAUGUGAACUCUUGUACAGGUAUGUAUACUAAAGAUAGACAUAAUGUGAACUCUUGUACAGGUAUGUAUACUAAAGAUAGAUAUAAUGUGAACUCUUGUACAGGUAUGUAUACUAAAGAUAGAUAUAAUGUGAACUCUUGUACAGGUAUGUAUACUAAAGAUAUAUAUAAUGUGAACUCUUGUACAGGUAUGUAUACUAAAGAUAUAUAUAAUGUGAACUCUUGUACAGGUAUUUAUGUAGAAUUUUAUAAUGUCCACCAUGUAAUAAUGUCCGCUGGGCUGGACAUUUUUUCAUAGUUAAUACUGUCCAUGGACAAUUUUUAUACAACUGCAAAAAUUAAAAAUUUUUUGGUCGUAUAUUGGUAUCACGUUGUCGUCGUCGUCAGCGUCGUCCUAAGACAGAUGGUUUCUGGAUAAUAACUUUAAUAUAAGUAUAUGGAAAUCAAUAAAAUUUUAACACAAGGUCUAUAACCACUAAUGGAAGGUUGGGAUUGAUUUUGGGGGUUAUGGUCCCAACUGUUUAGGAAUUAGGGGCCAAAAAAGGGGCCCAAAUAAUCAUUUUUGUAGUUUCCAAACAAUAACUUGUGUUAAAGUGUAUGAAUCUCUCUGAAAUUAUACCACAAGUUUCCAUACUACAAAGGGAUGGUUAGGAUUGACUUUGGGGGGUUAUGGCUCAAACCAUUUAGGAAUUAGGGGCAAAAAAAGGGGAAAAACGGGUUUUUCUGGUUAAAGGACAAUUGAGACAAUUUAAAAGCAGUGUAAGGGAGGUAAUCCAAAUCAAAAUCCAAAUCAAUUUAAAUAAUAAUGUUUGAUUACCUCCCUUACACUGCUUGUAAAUUAUGUAUUAAGAAAUGAUGAUUGUCUGAGAUACUGACCAUAACUUGAGGGAAAGAAAUAUUUUUGGAAUAAGGGAAAGGGGGGAGGUGAAAAAAAUUGGAGGGGGACAUUUUUUCUCAUUUCUGAUUUCAGAAAUUAAAAGAAAAUUGCUUCAAAUAUUUUUUUUUGGGGGGUUAAUAUUCAACAGCAUAGUGUCUUGCACAAACGCAAAAAAACGGGGUAAAUUUUUUUUUUUUUUUUUUGGG